CGUGACUGUUUUGUUUACAUUUUGUUUGGAUUGGAAGCAGCCGACGCCGACACGCACUUUUAAUAUUUACAUUUACAUUUACACACUUUGCACUGCACUUGCACUUGCAGAAUGCAGACCAGACAAGUUGGAUUGCUGAACAGCAUGGGUGAAAGAUUUCUACAACAGUACAUCUACAGUAGAUGUAACUAGUAACUAGGAGGAUGGUGGUUGAACUAAUUGCUACAACAUUUUUCCAUUCAGAAAAAAAUAUGGGGACCGAGCAAGGCUAAACCAAACAAAUGCAAAUGCUACUUAAUGUUGAUAAUAAAAACCUGCCGUUGGAAUGGAUCGAGUUGAUGAGAUUUACGCCUUUCAUGCCAUUCCCCAUUGUCUUGGAACUUUUCAGUCAAACUUACAUCAUCCUCAUGAAAAUGUUUAAUACAUACCACAGAGCUUGCAUUGGGUUCCCAAUCUGUUCUAGAAAUUGCACGAAUCCACGCCCUACACAAUUCAGGAUUCUUCGGAAAGAAAAUGUACUAGUAACUCCUUCAUCUUUUACACUAUUUCUAUAAUUUGAUUUGCAACCAGGAACAACACAUGCUCGAGGCAUCUCAACAUCACUGUAUUACUUGUACUUCAUAAAUAGUGAAUAACACGAAUAAACAUGGUUUCUAAUUUA